GGGAUAGAUUGGUGUAGGUCUGGCCCACGCAUCAGUGGGAGACUGAGCCUUUCUAUCCACACACACACAGUCAGUGUGUCAUGCUUGCACUGUGUGGGCUGAACUGAGCAUUCUUGCCAUACAGUAACGGUACAUAGACUGCCUCCUCUUUCCUCUCUCUCUCUCUCCUCUCUUUCCCCUCUCUCUCUCAUCCAUUUCUCGUUCCCCUCGCUUUCCUCGUUUCCUCUUCUUCUCUCUUUCCUCUCUUUCCUCUCUCUCCAUCUCUUUCUUUCUCCCCAUCUCUCUGGCUUUCUCACACUCUACAUCUCUCUCUUUCUCUCUCACACUCCAUCUCUCUCUCCACCUCUCUCUCAGUGUGCAGGCAGAGAAGCCUGGUGAUGGAGGAUCUGUGUCUCUGAUGCUGUGGGGCUGUGACUGGACAGUGAGUGACCCCAUGCCUCUGAGUCCGACUGCCAACGCUAAGCAUGACCCCCCUGAUCAUCCCCGGCAACCAGCUGCUACCAAUGGCAACCAGCCAGGUUCAGCCCUUGCCAGGGACGACGGGAGGACUUCCUCCCCAGAUCCUCCUGACGACGGCUCUGGAAACAGCAUCGUCAUCCGUAUUGGCAUCCCUGACCUGCAGCAGACGGUACACGCAAACACACAAACACACACAUAUGAAAACUCUUACCUAAGAAAUUGAUUCAUAAAUUCACAGGUGUGUGAAGAAUGUCGCCGGAGGAGAUGACUGCCGUUUUACGGGCUCUUAACCAAUCGUGCUGUUGUGUGUGUUUUUUCGCGUUAUUUGUAGCCAACUUUGUUUCUGCCACCGUCUCUUAUGACGAAAAGAGCUUCUGGAUAUCAGGACAGCGAUUACUCACCUCGUACUGGACAACGAUUUUUUUUUAAUGAGUUGGACUUGAAGGAUUUAUUUCAGACACCCGACAAGGCCUCAUCCUCGUCAUUCGCAGGAGAAAGAGACAGAGAUAUCAGGGACGUAGGUCGGGGUGCCUUGUAAGGAUUUGAUGGCGAGUGGGUAAUCUGCCUCUACGUAUUAGCCUGUAAGGACAGACGCUAGGAGACGAGAAGCAAGUACAGUACAUUUAAUAAAUAACGGACAUGAAACAAAACACGGACAGCGUCUGGACGGGAAACAAAACGACAUUGAUGCUGACUCGGGAAAGAAACUAAGAGAUACAGGGGAGGUAAUUAAUAACAUGAUGGAGUCCAGGUGAGUCUGAUGACGCGCUGAUGCGUGUAACGAUGGUGACAGAUAUGUGUAAUGAUAAGCAACCUGGUGACCUUGAGCUCCAGAGAGGGGGAACAGGAGCAGAUGUGACAGUACCUCCCCUCUAAGGGCGCCACUCGGCGUCCCACCUGGGCGAGCCCGACGAGCCAGCUGAGGCAUGGAAGCCCGACGAGCCAGCUGAGGCAUGGAAGCCCGACGAGCCAGCUGAGGCAUGGAAGCCCGACGAGCCAGCUGAGGCAUGGAAGCCCGACGAGCCAGCUGAGGCAUCCAUUGUUUCUUCGGCAGCCGUACCCGGACCCAACGUCACCCACUUAAACAAAAACACUUCCUGAUGCUUCCAACAUUGGUGUCAAAACAACAUUAAUGCUCUACAUACUACCUACCCCUACCUAACCCUGGUCCACAUACUACCUACCCCUACCUAACCCGGGUCCACAUACUACCUACCCCUACCUAACCCUGGUCCACAUACUACCUACCCCUACCUAACCCUGGUCCACAUACUACCUACCCCUACCUAACCCGGGUCCACAUACUACCUACCCCUACCUAACCCUGGUCCACAUACUACCUACCCCUACCUAACACUGGUCCACAUACUACCUACCCCUACCUAACCCUGGUCCACAUACUACCUACCCCUACCUAACCCUGGUCCACAUACUACCUACCCCUACCUAACCCGGGUCCACAUACUACCUACCCCUACCUAACCCUGGUCCACAUACUACCUACCCCUACCCCUACCUAACCCUGGUCCACAUACUACCUACCCCUACCUAACCCUGGUCCACAUACUACCUACCCCUACCUAACCCUGGUCCACAUACUACCUACCCCUACCUAACCCUGGUCCACAUACUACCUACCCCUACACAUACCUAACCCUGGUCCACAUACUACCUACCCCUACCCCUACCUAACCCUGGUCCACAUACUACCUACCCCUACCUAACCCUGGUCCACAUACUACCUACCCCUACCUAACCCUGGUCCACAUACUACCUACCCCUACCUAACCCUGGUCCACAUACUACCUACCCCUACCUAACUCUGGUCCACAUACUACCUACCCCUACCCCUACCUAACUCUGGUCCACAUACUAUCUACCCCUACCUAACCCUGGUCCACAUACUACCUACCCCUACCUAACCCUGGUCCACAUACUACCUACCCCUACCUAACCCUGGUCCACAUACUACCUACCCCUACCUAACCCUGGUCCACAUACUACCUACCCCUACCUAACUCUGGUCCACAUACUAUCUACCCCUACCUAACCCUGGUCCACAUACUACCUACCCCUACCUAAUCCUGGUCCACAUACUACCUACCUACCCCACCUAACCCUGGUCCACAUACUACCUACCCCUACCUAACCCUGGUCCACAUACUACCUACCCCUACCUAACCCUGGUCCACAUACUACCUACCCCUACCUAACCCUGGUCCACAUACUACCUACCCCUACCUAACCCUGGUCCACAUACUACCUACCCCUACCUAACCCUGGUCCACAUACUACCUACCCCUACACCUACCUAACCCUGGUCCACAUACUACCUACCCCUACCUAAUCCUGGUCCACAUACUACCUACCCCUACCUAACCCUGGUCCACAUACUAUCUACCCCUACCUAACCCUGGUCCACAUACUACCUACCCCUACCUAAUCCUGGUCCACAUUCUACCUACCCCUACCUAACCCUGGUCCACAUACUACCUACCCCUACCUAACCCUGGUCCACAUACUACCUACCCCUACACCUACCUAACCCUGGUCCACAUACUACCUACCCCUACACCUACCUAACCCUGGUCCACAUACUACCUACCCCUACCUAACCCUGGUCCACAUACUACCUACCCCUACCUAACCCUGGUCCACAUACUACCUACCCCUACAUAACCCUGGUCCACAUACUACCUACCCCUACACCUACCUAACCCUGGUCCACAUACUACCUACCCCUACCUAACCCUAACUCGGGAAAGAAACUGAGGAAGUGACAGUCAGCCACCAAUUGUGCAAGUUCUCCCACUUAAAAAGAUGAGAGAGGCCUGUUUCAUCAUAGGUACACUUCAACUAUGAUAGACAAAAUGAGAAGAAAAAAAUCCAGAAAAUCACAUUAUACAAUUUGUUAUGAAUUUAUUUGCAAAUUAUGGUGAAAAAUAAGUAUUUGGUCAAUAACAACAGUUUUUCUCAAUACUUUGUUAUAUACCCUUUGUUGGCAAUGACAGAGGUCACUCAAAAUAGGUAGGUUUUCACUCAAAAUCUCACGAUACAUGGCCCCAUUCAUUCUUUCCUUUACACGGAUCAGUCUUCCUGGUCCCUUUGCAGAAAAACAGCCCCAAAGCAUGAUGUUUCCACCCCCAUGCUUCACAGAAGGUAUGGUGUUCUUUGGAUAUAACUCAGCAUUAUUUGUCCUCCAAACACGACGAGUUUAGUUUUUACCAAAAAGUUAUA
rnacentral:lncRNA from 1 species